GGGGAAUAUUGGACAAUGGGGGCAACCCUGAUCCAGCCAUGCCGCGUGCAGGAAGAAGGCCUUCUGGGUUGUAAACUGCUUUUACCAGGGGCUAAAAGGCCCAUGCGUGGGAAAUUGAAAGUACCUGGUGAAUAAGCCACGGCUAACUACGUGCCAGCAGCCGCGGUAAUACGUAGGUGGCAAGCGUUGUCCGGAUUUAUUGGGUUUAAAGGGUGCGUAGGCGGUCUAUUAAGUCAGUGCUGAAAUAUCCCGGCUUAACCGGGAGGGUGGCAUUGAUACUGAUGGACUUGAGUGAAGUCGAGGUAGGCGGAAUUGACGGUGUAGCGGUGAAAUGCUUAGAUAUCGUCAAGAACACCGAUAGUGAAGACAGCUUACUAGACUUCAACUGACGCUGAGGCACGAAAGUGUGGGGAUCAAA
rnacentral:rRNA from 1 species